GUUAGUACAUGUGGUGGGCUUAUACAUGGGGGGCCUAUAUUCGGGGGGGGGGGCUUAUAGUCGGAGGUUUACGGUAUUUACAUAUGUAUACGACGAUUGUACACCCGGGGAUAAUACUCUACGGAGACAUUUUAACACGCGUGCGGCAUACUUUGAAAACAUAAGACAUUUCGGGUAAUUGGUGAACGCGCGCGGAGGACCAAGGGAAGGAAGCGAAGACAGCAAAAAAUCCCGGGUGCAUUUACAAGUCGUCCGCGUGUUUAACUAAAAAACGUAUUCGAGAGCCGAAACGUAAAGCCUGGUUCAAUUCCAUAUGCCGGUCGUAACGGUCGUAAAGAUUGAGUCACGAUCUUUCUCAUCAGCCGAAGUACAACAUUUUAGAACUGAAAAUACGCGGAGUGAAUCCGAGUGAUAAUAACUACAGGGGACGGUUUUUCAAAGGUGGGUUAAUACUAACCUAGUAACCCUGGGUUAAAAUUUAAACUGCUGUUUUAGUUUGUGUAGUUCUACACAUUGAUCUGUGUAUUUCAAAACUUCAGAGAAGUAAACUCCUAUCGAUCCAGACAAGAUCUCUGAAGAAGUAUCAGUCCAAAUUUAUAGAAAAGCUGUCAGGAAGUUUGCUUCGAAUUUUAGGUUAACCAAGGGUUAAGCUAACCCAGCUUUGAACAACUGGCUCCUGAAUAUUUAUGAUUCAUAUGUGGUUUACAGGUAUUUAACAAAUAUAAAACAUUUUCCGUGUUGAUAUACAGUUAUAUCAACACGAAUGGAAAUUGGGAAAACGAGAAAUUGUGUGGAAACCCGAAGGGCGGAGUGCUUUCACAUAAUUUCGAGUUUUCACAAUUUCCACGAGUGUUGACAUGGUUAUAUAUCAAUGCGGAAAAAAGUUUUUAUAUUUGUUUUCUAAGAUAGCACAAAGAAAUAUAAAGAAAGAAAUUUUCCAACGUUUCCGUGUUGACAUAGAGUUAUAUCAACACGGCUCUUAGCUAGCCAAUCAGCAUUCAGAAUUUACAAAUGCUAUAUUAUAAAAACUGUUAUAAACUGGCCGUUGAGAAAGAUCGUGAUACGACCAUAUGGAAAUAUACUCAAAUUCGAACUUAUUUCGAAGAACUCUUCAUUAUGUUCGCUAGACCAUUUCAAGUUUGUUAUUUUUAUCGCUCACAUGACAGCCUCACCUUCCGUGCUAUUGUUUGCAUUUCCGUUUUGCGGAAUGGUUUCAAGUAACAAUUUUGACGUCAAUAUCAUUUCACAAGACGAUAUUGUCGCAGUUUUUGAGACAACGAAAUCGAUACAAUUCACAAACACGAAAGUUUUAUGUUAUAUAUAUUGUUCGGAAAUUUGAAAACACCUGUAAAUUAUUGUAUGGUUAAGAAAUUUCAUGACUGUAAACUAGGGUGAGUACGUCAUUGCACAAUGAGCGUAACGAAUCAACAGAAUGUCAAAAGGACAAAGAUUUGUCAACAAUGCUUAUAGGUUCCCCUACAGCUUAAAUCACUGACUCCAUUUCUAGCUCAAUGUAUUCAUAUAUUCGACAUUUAUAGAAUGAUAAAUUUGACACUGAAUGCAUGUCCUUGCCUAUAUAGUUACUCUGUGAAAAUAAACGAGGUUCAAUCUAACUAUACAAGCGACAAAAUCCAAAAGGCUGCUAACUGCCUUGUUCGAUUUCCAGUAUUAUUCAACCAGGAUCGGAUAAACUUUCAUGAAUGUAACUAUCUCUGUGCAAAAUUUAAAAGGAUUUUGAAAUAACGUGGCAGUUCUAUUCAGUGCUAACUUUUGGGGGAUUUUGUAACCGAACUGAUCCGAGAUUAAACUAGUUAACUAGCCGCAAGCCCUAAAACCUACUUCCGCAAACAGCGCAAAUUAAAGCAUUCAAAAUUUCCGUCAUAUUAAAUUUACAAAUAUGUACCAUACAAAACUCGAUACAAAUAUCAUAUAUUACAACUUGUUUGCUAAACUUAGUUGAUAUUAUAGUUGUUUCAACUACUAAAAAGCAAGAUCAAUAUUUUUGCUAAACAACGCCUAUCGCAUUUGGAAUGACAAAACGUGCGUGCACAGACAUGUUCCAUUUAUGUUUAUAUUGAGGGCUACGAAAAAUGAGAAUAGUAAUGGCAAAUGCAUUAUAUAUUAGAAACUUGCUGUUAUAUUAGGAAUAAGUCGAGGAUUUUGAACUAUAUUUGUUUGUAUAAGCCAAUACUAGACUCCUGGCUCAAGAUAGAGGGGUCAUAUUGAACCAUCAAAAUUGGAAGAUGUUUAAUCGUACCUUCACAUUCUUCUUUCUUCGCCCCGUCCAAUGGUAUGAGAUUUCCCAUAUUAUUGACUUUGUUAGAAUAGAAAUGAUCUUUCUUAUGGCUUUCGACUGUACCUGGCUCUCGGCCUUAUAGCAAGCUGUCAGUUGGGGAAUGUGCUUAUAUACACAACGAUAUUGUUACACAAUGCAUGCAUACUAGCACGUGAUGAUGCGACGAGCUGACACGCGAUAUCCGCAUAUCGGUUCCGCCUUGGUCAAUU
rnacentral:lncRNA from 1 species